rnacentral:rRNA from 1 species
CAGCAGCCGCGGUAAUACGUAGGUGGCAAGCGUUGUCCGGAAUUAUUGGGCGUAAAGGGCUCGCAGGCGGUUUCUUAAGUCUGAUGUGAAAGCCCCCGGCUCAACCGGGGAGGGUCAUUGGAAACUGGGAAACUUGAGUGCAGAAGAGGAGAGUGGAAUUCCACGUGUAGCGGUGAAAUGCGUAGAGAUGUGGAGGAACACCAGUGGCGAAGGCGACUCUCUGGUCUGUAACUGACGCUGAGGAGCGAAAGCGUGGGGAGCGAACAGGAUUAGAUACCCGUGUAGUCCCUGUCUCUUAUAA